AGAGUUGAUCCUGGCUCAGAUUGAACGCUGGCGGCAUGCCUUACACAUGCAAGUCGAACGGCAGCGGGGGAGCUUGCUCCUGCCGGCGAGUGGCGAACGGGUGAGUAAUGCAUCGGAACGUGUCCUGUUGUGGGGGAUAACUGAUCGAAAGAUCAGCUAAUACCGCAUGAGACCUGAGGGUGAAAGCGGGGGAUCGCAAGACCUCGCGCGACAGGAGCGGCCGAUGUCUGAUUAGCUAGUUGGUGAGAUAAAAGCUUACCAAGGCGACGAUCAGUAGCUGGUCUGAGAGGAUGAUCAGCCACAUUGGGACUGAGACACGGCCCAGACUCCUACGGGAGGCAGCAGUGGGGAAUUUUGGACAAUGGGGGAAACCCUGACCCAGCCAUGCCGCGUGCGGGAUGAAGGCCUUCGGGUUGUAAACCGCUUUUGUCAGAGACGAAAAGGGACGCACGAAUAAUACGUUCCGCUGACAGUAUCUGAAGAAUAAGCACCGGCUAACUACGUGCCAGCAGCCGCGGUAAUACGUAGGGUGCAAGCGUUAAUCGGAAUUACUGGGCGUAAAGGGUGCGCAGGCGGCUGUGCAAGACAGAUGUGAAAUCCCCGGGCUUAACCUGGGAACUGCAUUUGUGACUGCAC
rnacentral:rRNA from 1 species